rnacentral:rRNA from 1 species
UACGGAGGGUGCAAGCGUUGCUCGGAAUCACUGGGCGUAAAGCGCACGCAGGCGGCUAUUCAAGUCGGAUGUGAAAGCCCCGGGCUCAACCCGGGAACUGCAUUCGAAACUGGAUGGCUUGAGUUCGAGAGAGGGUGGUGGAAUUCCUGGUGUAGAGGUGAAAUUCGUUGAUAUCAGGAGGAACACCGGCGGCGAAGGCGGCCACCUGGCUCGAUACUGACGCUCAUGUGCGAAAGCGUGGGGAGCAAACAGG